rnacentral:lncRNA from 1 species
GACCUCCAAGCUAUUCUCGCUGCGUGAAGUCAUCAGUCAUUAAAACCGUGUAUGGUCAUUCGCAGACUCGCUCGACGGCCCCGAUUUCACGAUCCGCAAGUGUAUACAUACGUAUAUAUACACAUUAGAAUAACUAUAAUGCGUAACUGCAAUGUGCCUGCGGAAAUGUACCGGACUCAUCGAUUUCUAGAUCAAAUUUUUUGUCCUUAAGAUCGUGUAGUGCUCCUACACUUACCGACCGAGCGAUCUCGCCCUAUUUCUUCCUGUAUUAAGUAAACAAACGAACGGAAAGGAUUCGACUUUAGAAUUUGCUCGAUCGAACUGCCGGUUACGACGAAAAACUGCUGAUGCAAUAUAACGCGAUACCCCAUGUCAAGUAUCUCGACUGUUCAGAUGACGUCACGGAUUCCGUUGAAAACAGUCGGCAUUACUGCAGAAUAUUGAAUCAUUCUCGAUUCCGUGCGAGACACAAUCAUUAAAUGAUGUACGUAAUCGGCUGAGUAAUAUCUGAAAUUAUACUUUGUAUUUUGUAAUUGAAAUAGUAAAAUGCA